rnacentral:rRNA from 1 species
GAUGAACGCUGGCGGCGUGCCUAAUACAUGCAAGUCGAGCGAACAGACGAGGAGCUUGCUCCUCUGACGUUAGCGGCGGACGGGUGAGUAACACGUGGAUAACCUACCUAUAAGACUGGGAUAACUUCGGGAAACCGGAGCUAAUACCGGAUAAUAUAUUGAACCGCAUGGUUCAAUAGUGAAAGACGGUUUUGCUGUCACUUAUAGAUGGAUCCGCGCCGCAUUAGCUAGUUGGUAAGGUAACGGCUUACCAAGGCAACGAUGCGUAGCCGACCUGAGAGGGUGAUCGGCCACACUGGAACUGAGACACGGUCCAGACUCCUACGGGAGGCCGCAGUAGGGAAUCGUCCGCAAUGGGCGAAAGCCUGACGGAGCGACGCCGCGUGAGUGAUGAAGGUCUUCGGAUCGUAAAACUCUGUUAUUAGGGAAGAACAAAUGUGUAAGUAACUAUGCACGUCAUGACGGUACCUAAUCAGAAAGCAACGGCUAACUACGUG